rnacentral:rRNA from 1 species
AUCGGUGAGAGAUGGGUCCGCGUCUGAUUAGCCAGUUGGCGGGGUAACGGCCCACCAAAGCGACGAUCAGUAGCCGGCCUGAGAGGGCGGACGGCCACAUUGGGACUGAGACACGGCCCAGACUCCUACGGGAGGCAGCAGUGGGGGAUAUUGCACAAUGGGCGCAAGCAUGAUGCAGCGACGCCGCGUGAGUGAAGAAGUAUUUCGGUAAGGAAGCUCUAUCAGCAGGGGAGAAAGGCCCGCAAGGGAGAUGAC